GCGCUCCGACGGCAGCACUUGCAACUACAAACAUAUUUGCAAAUGCGUGAUCACAUAUUGUUUUGGCUUCUAAAAAGUGGUUCUUUGCCAAAAUGCCUGUGGUGCUCCGCGGGACAAGUGCAAAAAUGCGCCCGUUUACAUACAUACAUACAUCUUUACGUACAUAUGUACACACAUAUUUACAACCUUAUCUACGACGUACGCAAGCACAAAGAGGAGGAGACAAAUUGAAAUUAGAAAUGCGACGCAAAGUCGGAAAGAGGAAAUCAACAAAACGCAAAAAUAACU